UAAUAGGUGAUUUUAAUCUGUUACAGCUCAAUGAUUUUUCAAUAAAUUGAAAAAGAAAAUCAAAAAUGAUUUUGAAAUAGAAAAGUGAAAAGAAGCAGUUACAGAUUAGAGAUAGCAGUGAAGCGAAAUAUUUUUUUAGAUAAACAAAGCCAAAAUGAAGAAAUAGUUCGGGGAGCGAGGAGGGGAUUUAUAUCUGAAAUUCCAUCUCAGAGAUGUUCUUUCAUUCGUCUUCUUCCUGCUGUUUUUCCAUAGUUGUUCACAUUGUUUUAGCCCGACUAAAUUUUAAUCUAGGUACUUUUUACCCAUCAAAUAUGGACAGAACUUGUGUUUCAGAGUCCACAUAUUUGACUAAGCCGCUACAGAGAGUUCAGCCAAGUCAUCUGAACUUCCCUAUGGAGCCAAAAGAUGUAAAAUUGCAUCUGGAGGAUUAAGCUUUGGCAUUGCUAUGAAACAAGAUGCAAAACAAACAAAUUACAUGACAGACGGUUAUUAAAUGCGAAGAAUUUAAACCUCUCGGGCAAUAACAGUUUAACCAAGUCACUUGGUGGCAAAUUAGUUCGGCAAAGUAUGAAAACCUCGUGUACAUUCUACAGUGAAAACUGGAAUGACUAAUCCAAAUAAUACCCAAUAGGGAAUUGAAAACAACAUAUUUCAUUUCAAUGAAAGUAAGCAUACAGUCUGAUGGAUGCAUUUGGACCAGUAUCUUCAAAUAAAACCAAUUGCAAGACCAGCUAGUUUGUUUAUCCAACAAAAUAUUGUAAGUUUGAAAAUUUAUCUGCAUCGUAUUGAGAGCUAAUUUGAUAAAUUGCAGAUACACAAGGAAAUCAUUCACCGUCCAGCUAUGGGAGAAUCUGUAGAGCGUGGAUGGUAUGAUCAUCGCUAAAGAGGACAACCGAGUUGGAGGUUCAAAAUUGGCUGUGGAGGAGGAAGAAAAAAAUGAACAUAAAAAAUGGCAUCUUUGCAUAUCUCAACAUGAUCUUGUAGUCAUAUAAAUGUCAUGAAAUGUUUAAGACUGCAAAUUCUGAAAGGUUUUGAAAAAGUUUGGUUGUUCGGUUCGCUGACAAAACGAGCCUUAGGGCAAUUUUUGGGACUGAAGUCUAGUUUAAUUACAUUUGAAUGUCAAGCCAUUAUCUGGUCAACUUCUGUGACAAUUGCUAAGUUUGGUUGGAAAACUUUGAAUGACCAUGACUUCACUUGCAAAACACUGAACUGUUUAUGUUUUUCUCUGUUCAUCCUAUAUAUGUGAAUUAAAUCUAGCUUAGAUUUGGUGUUAAAGACAAGUGCAACUGCUAAUGUGAUAUGGAAAAAGCCUUACUGAAGAUACAUAAAAGAGCAGUCUUUGUCGAGAGGUUUCAUCCUACAGUCACUAGUGAGCUGGUAAUAUUCUGCUUCUGUUCAUCAUUUACAAGCUUAUGAGUGAAUCCCAGCUCAUUGUCAUCUCCUUUUGACUCUCUUAAUUUGUAGCGAAUCCCAGCCGAUUUUCUUAGGCAUAUAUAUCAGAAGAAUCACCUGAUAAAGCCACGAUAAAGUGUCUUUCUGGAGGCACUUGGAAUGUGAAACUAUAAUGUGAUGGAAGAGGGCUUGUGCUUAUACACAAAGGUUGGAAGAAAUUUCAGAAAAAUAACCAACUACAAAAUGGGGAAUAUCUCGUGUUUAGGUACGAUGGCAGUCUGCAAUUCACAAUAAGAAUUUUCAGCAAGAACGGACUGGAAAGACAAGUGAAGUCAACAAACAUGGUAAAAAAUCAACAAGCUUCAAUAUAUGAUGAAGGCAGCAAGCGUAAAAGGCCAGAAAAAUACCCUUACACUUCAAAAUUCCCUAAACAGACUCUUGCUAACGGUGAAAAUGACACAGAAGACCUAUCUUAACAUGUGAUGGACUACUAUGUUGUGUUUCCUUAGAACAUGCAACUCCAAGAAAAAGAGCUGCACUUGAGAAAGAAGAGGACCUUCUCACAGAUCUUACUCCAAAUAUUCCUCAAUUUGUGAAAUGCUUGAAAGGCUACAAUGUGAAAAUGUCUUGUUUCCUGGUAAGUGUUUUCUUGAAGUAAAACAAGUUCAUGCUUAUUAGUUUAUGUGUCCAGUAAGCUAUGAAAUGUGUAAAAUGUAUGUAAACCCAAUACUUAAUACUUCUAAUGCAGUAUGUUCCAAAAUCCUUCUGUGAACAACUUUCAAAAUCAGACAAUAAGACAACAACUGUUCAAGGAAAAGAGUGGAAAGUAUAUUGUAUAUCACCAAAAGGAUAUCGCGCUUUAUGUGGAGGAUGGAAACAGUUUUUGAGUGAUAACAAGCUUAAUAAAGGACAUGUCUGUGUGUUUCAGCUUGUCAAUACAAAUGAACUGAAGGUUUCAUUUUCAAUGAUCAUCCGGAAUCUCUGUUGAACUUGCUGCAUAAAGAUGUGCAAGAAUGACCAUGAAAAAAUUUGAAGUUUUCAACUUGGUCAUUCCCUUUUGCUUUUCGGGAGUGAGUAGUAGGGGAUUUAUGUCUGCAAUCCAAUACUUCUGUUGGCAUCCCAUCUUAGAGAUGCUCUUCAUUACACUGUUGUUACUCAUUGCAUUGUUGAGAUUGUCAGUCAUCGUCUUCUAGUCUCCUGGCUCCUGCUUAUUUGCUAAGUUCGCUUUUCUACUCACUGGUACAUAAGCACUCUUAUUUGAAAUUGAUAAACUUCUGACGUACAAGGGUAUCUUUCUUUCUACUUAAUAUUGUCUACCAUUUGUCGUAAUACCAAAUUUUAAGUAUAAAAAUCUAUGUUUGUUAUUGCA